UGCUUUUCUUCGUGUUCACAGCGGACCUUGAUUUAAAUGUCCAUACAAUUAAGGCACGCGGUGAAUGCCAAGAGAGAUGGC
rnacentral:pre_miRNA from 1 species